rnacentral:rRNA from 1 species
CUAUACAUGCAGUCGAGCGAACAGAUAAGGAGCUUGCUCCUUUGACGUUAGCGGCGGACGGGUGAGUAACACGUGGAUAACCUACCUAUAAGACUGGGAUAACUUCGGGAAACCGGAGCUAAUACCGGAUAACAUAUUGAACCGCAUGGUUCAAUAGUGAAAGGCGGCUUUGCUGUCACUUAUAGAUGGAUCCGCGCCGUAUUAGCUAGUUGGUAAGGUAACGGCUUACCAAGGCAACGAUACGUAGCCGACCUGAGAGGGUGAUCGGCCACACUGGAACUGAGACACGGUCCAGACUCCUACGGGAGGCAGCAGUAGGGAAUCUUCCGCAAUGGGCGAAAGCCUGACGGAGCAACGCCGCGUGAGUGAUGAAGGUCUUCGGAUCGUAAAACUCUGUUAUCAGGGAAGAACAAAUGUGUAAGUAACUGUGCACAUCUUGACGGUACCUGAUCAGAAAGCCACGGCUAACUACGUGCCAGCAGCCGCGGUAAUACGUAGGUGGCAAGCGUUAUCCGGAAUUAUUGGGCGUAAAGCGCGCGUAGGCGGUUUUUUAAGUCUGAUGUGAAAGCCCACGGCUCAACCGUGGAGGGUCAUUGGAAACUGGAAAACUUGAGUGCAGAAGAGGAAAGUGCAAUUCCAUGUGUAGGGAUGAAAUGGGCAGAGCAUAUGAAGUGACACCAGUGGCGAAGGAACUUUCUGGUCUGUAACUGACGCUCAUGUGUGAAAGCGUGGGGAUCAAACAGGAUUAGAUACCCUGGUAGUCCACGCCGUAACGAUGAGUGCUAAGUGUUAGGGGGUUCCGCCCCUUAGUGCUGCAGCUAACGCAUUAAGCACUCCGCCUGGGAGUACGACCGCAAGGUUGAAACUCAAAGGAAUUGACGGGACCCGCACAAGCGGUGGAGCAUGUGGUUUAAUUCGAAGCAACGCGAAGAACCUUACCAAAUCUUGACAUCCUCUGACCCCUC